rnacentral:rRNA from 1 species
GUCCUAGCCGUAAACGGUGAGCACUAGGUGUAGGAAGUAUCGACCCUUCCUGUGCCGCAGCUAACGCAUUAAGUGCUCCGCCUGGGGGAGUACGACCGCAAGGUUGAAACUCAAAGGAAUUGACGGGGGCCCGCACAAGCGGUGGAGCAUGUGGUUUAAUUCGAUGCAACGCGAAGAACCUUACCCAGACUUGACAUGUAUCGGACAGGUGUGGAAACACACCCUCCCUUCGGGGCCGGUGCACAGGUGCUGCAUGGCUGUCGU